GAUGAACGCUAGCGGCAGGCCUAACACAUGCAAGUCGAGGGGUAGAACACUUCGGUGUUUGGGACCGGCGCACGGGUGCGUAACGCGUAUGCAAUCUCCCUUAUACAGGGGAAUAGCCCAGAGAAAUUUGGAUUAAUGCCCCAUAACAUUACGACUUGGCAUCAAGAUGUAAUUAAAGUUCCAACGGUAUAAGAUGAGCAUGCGUCCCAUUAGUUAGUUGGUAAGGUAACGGCUUACCAAGACGAUGAUGGGUAGGGGUCCUGAGAGGGAGAUCCCCCACACUGGUACUGAGACACGGACCAGACUCCUACGGGAGGCAGCAGUGAGGAAUAUUGGUCAAUGGUCGCAAGACUGAACCAGCCAUGCCGCGUGCAGGAAGACGGUCCUAUGGAUUGUAAACUGCUUUUAUACAGGAAGAAACCCUCCCACGUGUGGGAGCUUGACGGUACUGUAGGAAUAAGGAUCGGCUAACUCCGUGCCAGCAGCCGCAGUAA
rnacentral:rRNA from 1 species